rnacentral:rRNA from 1 species
GACGAACGCUGGCGGCGUGCCUAAUACAUGCAAGUAGAACGCAGUUGCGAACGGGUGAGUAACGCGUAGGUAACUGCCUGGUAGCGGGGGAUAACUAUUGGAAACGAUAGCUAAUACCGCAUACUACCAGAUGGACAUGCGUUGUAUGAGCUAGUUUGUGGGGUAACGGCCCACCAAGCCAACGAUACAUAGCCGACAUGAGAGGGGGACCGGUCACACCGGGACUGAGACAGGGCCCAGACUCCUACGUGAGGCAGCAGUAGGGAAUCUUCGGCAAUGGACGGAAGUCUGAGCGAGCGACGCCGCGUGAGUGAAGAAGGUUUUCGGAUCGUAAAACUCUGUUGUUAGAGAAGCGGUAUCUAACCAGAAAGCCACGGCUAACUACGUGCCAGCAGCCGCGGUAAUUC